CAUGUCACUGCCAGGGUUCGAAGUACAGGACUCUUACCUCCAAGAGGAAGAUGACUGACUUCAUAAGGCAGAAAAUAAGAGGAGAGCCACCAGAAAAGACUAGAAGGGUUGUGGCAAACCCGUGGGGUGCAGAGCACAAGUGCUACACUGUUUCAUCAGGAGUGCACAAACAAGGAUGCAGUCCCAUUCCUGGUUUCAGCUCGCUCUUCCUGCUGCUCUAUUAACAACUAGAGGAGACAACAGCUCCCACCUCUGGCCACUGGUACUCUGGAUCCCUGUUCACCACCCUUCUUCUCAUUGCUGCCUGGCCUAGGGAGAGAAGCCUUCCCAACUGGUGAUCAGCCUGGUGCAACCACAGUCCCUCUUAGCUGCUGCUGAUUUUUCUUUGGCCAUUUCUGACAACUUCUGGAGUGAGUUUGCUAGGGCUGUCCCGGUGUUGUGAGAAAGCCCUGCAGAGCCUGCGGUUGCCCUCUGCUGCCACAUCACCCUUAUGUGACCUCACCUGCACCUUCUGACUCCUAACAGUGACAUUCAGUGCCAGAAACCCCAUUGUUCUGGGAUCCAGUCAGCUCACAUUAACUGAGAAUAGCUAUGGUUUUUGCUGUGGACCUUCCCUCUUUCCCCCCAGAUGUAUUAAAAAGUCACGCAAGGCCAUUGCUAAGUGUUCGUCUCCUUUAAGUUCAUGUUCCAAUUUGUGCAAUUUCAUUAUAAAGUCAGACUGUGGCAGUUAUAGUGUUAAAUGAGAUGAAGAUAGGAAUGUAUUCACCUUUUUAGUCUGGAACAAAUUCAGACUUCCCUACUGCCAAAUUCCCAGUAUGUUCAGUAAUAAAGUGUGGCUUGUAAACAUAUCAGCACUUAAUGGGGCCUUGAAUCAAGUACUCACUCAUUCCACCAACUACUGUUGGUACCAAAAGUGAUUCAGUGCUUAUUGUACAUCUCUCUUACCGAGGACUUUGUGACUUUUCCUAAGGUGCUAAAACCAAAACUGUAACAGAAGAGGCUUUCUGAUAUAAUAAUAAU